rnacentral:tRNA from 1 species
GGGCGUUUAGCUCAGUCGGCUAGAGCGCUUCCUUCACACGGAAGAGGUCACUGGUUCGAGUCCAGUAACGCCCA